GAGUAACACGUGGGUGAUCUGCCCUGCACUUCGGGAUAAGCCUGGGAAACUGGGUCUAAUACCGGAUAGGACCAUGCUUUAGUGUGUGUGGUGGAAAGUUUUUCGGUGCAAGAUGAGCCCGCGGCCUAUCAGCUUGUUGGUGGGGUAAUGGCCUACCAAGGCGACGACGGGUAGCCGGCCUGAGAGGGUGUACGGCCACAUUGGGACUGAGAUACGGCCCAG
rnacentral:rRNA from 1 species